UGGAGCACCCACUGCUGACCACUGUGGUCUGGAGUGGAAAAAUGCAGGAUUUCCCUUGGCAAGUGACUGGAAUGGGAAAGCUUCAUGUAGGGCUUCCUCUGUAAGGGAUAAACGUGUCCAGCUGCACCUCAUUCCCCUUAAACCCCCUGUUCACCAUAAAUACCUGCAGGGCUGAGCUGCUGUGAGCUGUGCUGUCUCUAUUCAUUCCUCUGCUGUCCUAACCCAGCUCUUUUCCCUCCAGAGGUGGGAGGCCAGGAGGUGAAAUUGCCUCAUUUGGGGGCAUUACCCCAGUGAUCACUUUUGUGUCUCAUAAAGAACAGAGAAACUCUCAGGUUGCUGUGGCUGAGAUGACCCUGAGGUGUCAGAAAGUCUCUUUUUCCCCAGCCCUGUGACUGCAGAAGAAGUUGAGAUCCUUCAAUUCUGUUUCUCAAGGUUGUUUAUUUUCCCUUAUCUGUUCCAUUCUCUCUCUGCCCUGCUGAGCUCUGCCCAGCAGGUCGGGUUGUGGCACAGUCCCUGCCCUUGGGGUGCUGUUGGCUUUUUAUACUGAGAACUACCUGUGCUUUAUUUACAAUAAUUUCCCAAUCCCUAUCACCUGUGUUAGACAGUCUGUCUCAACUCUAAACCAAUCCAGAAGUGCCACCAUCCCAGCAGAAGAUGGAGAACAAGAAGAAGGAGAAGAAGGAGGAGAGGACAUGCCCAGAUUCCUCCAUCUUGCCUCUUGACCCCCCAUUCUAAAUCCCCAAAAUUCUACUUUUUCACCCUGUGACAAAUUCACCGUCAUUCUACUCAAACUCCUGUGGCUUGUAACUCCUCACACAAAGUUGGUCAUUGUUUCCAUGGGCUAAAAUCCAAGGCCCAGGUGGUUCUGACUCCGUGCCAGGGUCUCAGAUCACCCAGGGCAGCCAGAGGAAUGUCCUGGGUUCCGACAGGAAACCUCCCCAGCCCCAAAGGGCGCGCAGCAAGGCCGGACAUCUUUCCUCGUUCAGUCCUGAGCUCCCUGGCUCUUGCUGGCAGAUUGCAUCCUAAUCAGGGAGAUGGGCCCAGACAGCCAGGGGGUGUGACAAGGACACUGCCUUGGCACUGCUGCUCCAGCUGACAUCACGCCGGAAAUUAAUUACUGAUGGCUCUUGUGCUAACGAGCGGCCUCGCGCAGACGUGCAGGGACUCUGCAGUGCCUGAUUACUCUGGGCCCACGGGGACAGCCUGGCUUUGGGAGAGCUCCCCAGCCUGGAAAUGCCAUCCUGGAGGAGUCCAGCCCCCCUGGCUGCUGCCUGUGUUCCUCCUCAGUUCGGGGUUUUCUUUGUUUUCCUCCUGGUUAUUAUUUUCCUUCUGGCAAUCCCUGCCUAGUAACCUGCUUCCUGAUCAAAACACUUAGAGAAACCAUCUUUUUCCUCCCUCUCUCUCUUCUUUUUUUUAAAUCAUUUUCUAAUUUUAGCCACGUUUGACAGCAGAGCUGAGAUCUGAGGCAUAAAUUUUGUGGGAACUUUUAUGUUGGAGAGGAGGAAAACAUCAAAUCCGUGGCCUAGACUUGGCUCCUGUCAGAUGAGAGACACCCAUGCAGGAGGGAGGGGAGAACAGAAAUGCUUCAUCCCUGAGAAGUUCAGCUUGCACUUUAGUAGCACCAGACAACCCAAAUAUGCUGCUCUUUCUUGAGAGUUCCUCUGCUUUAGUGCUCCUGGAGCUCUUUUUUGAAGUGAAGCUAUGAAAGGUUUUGUUGUUUCAGCUCUGUUAACUCAACAUGAAAUCCCUUCAAGUCCAAAUUCUGACGUCUGUGUUCCCAUCUAGGCUUGUCUAGGGCUAAUUAAAUAGCCCAGAUAAUGACCCAUGGGGGAAAUCCUUAUUCCCAGGGCAUCCAGGGGACAUUUCUUGAGGGAUGAUGUCAGGCAGCUGGAGCCCCAUGGUCACAGAGCUGCUGCAGCACCACAAGGCUGGGCAUUCACCUGUGGGGAUUUUGGGUUUACCAUGGGGGAGAUCAAAUCCACAGAUUGGCUUUGGUCCUCUUCAGGUGAGGAUCUAAACCUCAGAAGGAGGCAGCAGGAUAAAUGUUAGGCUUGAGUUCAUCUGGGUUCUGAUGCACUCUGGAGCUUUUCUCAUAGCUGGUGCCUUUAUAACCUUCCCUGAAUCUGCUGUCAGGUAGGUCUGGUCUCCUACUAUGGCUCAGGUGAGCUUUGUGGAUUAUUUCUGUGAAAUUUAGAGGUGUUUGUUCUCCUGAGAUGAGAGGAAAAAUCCUAAACCACAACUUUCUCCUGUAUUCCAAAUUCUGUUCAAACUUUUUAACAUUUUCAGCAGUUCUUGGGGAUAUGAGAUAAUGAACAAAGGAGCAUUUGUGGGUUUUUCUACCAAAGAAACUUCAUACAGCAUGUAUGAGGAUUUUUGUUACAGAUGUUACAGCUGUUGUCAGGCACGGUUCAGGUGAGGAUUUUUGUUACAGAUGUUGUCAGGCACAGUUCAGGUGAGGAUUUUUGUUACAGAUGUUGUCAGGCACAGUUCAGGUGAGGAUUUUUGUUACAGAUGUUGUCAGGCACAGUUCAGGUGAGGAUUUUUGUUACAGAUGUUGUCAGGCACAGUUCAGGUGAGGAUUUUUGUUACAGCUGUUGUCAGGCACAGUUCAGGUUGCUUUGUGUACAAACAUGAACCUGAUCCCAGGGCUGGUGGAUGGGGAGGAGAGGAGGGGACGGGUGGUUUUACAGCUUCCAGCUCUGAGGCAGAAGCUGGAUGUGCUGAGAUCAGCUCUCUUGGGUGAUGCUUGUUCAUGCUGCUGCUUUUGUGGCUCUCUGGAGCUGCUGAUUGGCUUGUGCUUGAGGAAAGGUGUUCAAGCUCACCUGGCUCCUCUCAGCAGCCAGUGAAACACUGCCUGGGUUUGCUCCUGGAUUUUGUGUUUCCAUGGAAUUCUUCAGCUGCUUGGAAAUGUGUGUCCAGUGGAGUUAAGCAGUGAUAGUGAGUGAAAACAAAUUUGAAAUCAUGGAAUCCCUGAGUGGGUUGGGUGGGAAGGGACCUUAAAGCCCACCCAGUGCCACCCCUGCCAUGGCAGGGACACCUCCCACUGUCCCAGGCUGCUCCAAGCCCUGCCCAGCCUGGCCUUGGAUAUUUCCAGGGAUCCAGGGGCAGCCACAGCUGCUCUGGGCAACAGUAAAUCCUUCUUGAAAUUGAGUUCAUACUUUACAGUCAUUUUUGGAUGAUAUAUUUAGUUCAUGGCUGCUUUAUGUGAGCUUUUACAUCUUAUUUUAACUAAAAUCCUCCUAACUGAGAAGCUGCAUUGUCUUUCCUGGUGUUGAGUGUCUCUAGUUCUCAUGGGGUUCCAAAGACUUCCAUUUUUUUAAUCUAAGUGUUUCUUGUUUAAAAAUGUGGGGGUUUUCACUUCUGUUGGCCUCUGUGACCCUUGUAAAGAGCCCAAUUUUCAACAAAUUCAUCUUUGUGAACUCCUGUUUUCAUACCAGUAGAAGAGCAGGGCUUGCUGCUGUCUGAACAGAUGGAACUUGCCCAAAUGUGUCUCUUUGAGGAGCUGCAGGACUGCAGGGUGUUAGCAGAUAUUUGGAGGUGUUGAAAGGUGUUUUAAGUACCUUUUUCUUUAUAAGCUCUUUGGUACCACGUCAGAAAGGCAGAACUCUGUGAGGAACUGAACUAUUAGAAGAAAAAGAGACCAUCAGAGAGUCCAGAACUUUUCCUUGUCUAAAUUUUGCAUGAUUUCUUGAUCAAACACUCUUAAGUGACCAGGAAUAAUUUUGCAAGUUGAAAUAAAUAAAAGACUAAAUAAAUAAUAA